rnacentral:rRNA from 1 species
GCGGGGAACUUCGGUUCCUAGCGGCGGACGGGUGAGUAACACGUGGGUAACCUGCCUUGUAGAGGGGGAUAGCCUUCCGAAAGGAAGAUUAAUACCGCAUAACAUUGCGCUGUCGCAUGACAGUGCAAUCAAAGGAGCAAUCCACUACAAGAUGGACCCGCGGCGCAUUAGCUAGUUGGUGAGGUAACGGCUCACCAAGGCGACGAUGCGUAGCCGGCCUGAGAGGGUGAACGGCCACAUUGGAACUGAGACACGGUCCAGACUCCUACGGGAGGCAGCAGUGGGGAAUAUUGCACAAUGGGCGAAAGCCUGAUGCAGCAACGCCGCGUGAGUGAUGAAGGCCUUCGGGUUGUAAAGCUCUGUCUUCUGGGACGAUAAUGACGGUACCAGAGGAGGAAGCCACGGCUAACUACGUGCCAGCAGCCGCGGUAAUACGUAGGUGGCAAGCGUUG